AUCAUCACCGGUUUUGGAGCGCCAGUCGAUCCGGAAGUAUACUGGAUCAGGAACAAAUCCUCCGCUCUGGAAAGCCUCACGUAAGAAUCAUCGUCGACUGACUCCAAACUGACACUGUGGAUCUUGUCUGGCUCCAGUGCUAUCCAGCGCAGGUUGAAGUACGCGGCGAUGGCUUUUGCGGACGAUCCAUCAAGUUGCGCGCUCAACGAUUUCGGAGAAAUAAAUGCCACUGGUGAGGCCUCUAGAAUGACUUCCAUGAUAUCCUUACCGCUCUUGGUUUUGUUAGAAGAAGCCGACGGUGGCACGAGUGGGAUUACAGCGAUCCCCGCUCGCUGGCAGCCGAAGAUAACAGAGAUGAAAUCGAGGCCUGGUGGAUAGAGCAAGACUACACGGUCGCCACGCUUAAGACCCUCGACAUGGAUCAGCCAGCUUGAGGUAGCGGCAGCGAGAGAAUCCAGAAGACCGUAUGUCAAGACAGCCGGCUCUUCCUCUUCGCUGGACUCGUCGAUCCACACGAAAGCCGGCUUGCUGUGGAAGGCUGCUUGCCGGGACCAGAUUGAGAGGCAGUGAUCAACGACUGGGCAGUCGGGGAAGAUGGGAUCAUAGUUGAGCUCCAUGGGAGGUUGUCGCCGAGGAAAGAAGCAUGGAGUUUUAUAUGAAGAUAUGUUUUAAAGUCCGGCCAGACGAGGAACUCCCGAGAGCAUAUCUUUUGAUCCACCUUGUUAGAAACGAGCAAGAAGAAAAUGCCAUGGUGGAACCCUGUUGCUUGCACUCUUUAACAAAAUAUAUAGAUAUGAUUU
rnacentral:lncRNA from 1 species